rnacentral:rRNA from 1 species
UACGGGAGGCAGCAGUGGGGAAUAUUGCACAAUGGGCGCAAGCCUGAUGCAGCCAUGCCGCGUGUAUGAAGAAGGCCUUCGGGUUGUAAAGUACUUUCAGUCGUGAGGAAGGUGUUAAGGUUAAUAACCUUAGCAAUUGACGUUAGCGACAGAAGAAGCACCGGCUAACUCCGUGCCAGCAGCCGCGGUAAUACGGAGGGUGCGAGCGUUAAUCGGAAUUACUGGGCGUAAAGGGCACGCAGGCGGUUAAUUAAGUUGGAUGUGAAAUCCCCGGGCUUAACCUGGGAAUGGCAUUCAAGACUGGUUAGCUAGAGUCUUGUAGAGGGGGUAGAAAUUCCAUGUGUAGCGGUGAAAUGCGUAGAGAUGUGGAGGAAUACCGGGUGGCGAAAGGCGGCCCCUGGGACAAAGACUGACGCUCAUGUGCGAAAAGCGUGGGGAGCAAAACAGGGAUUAGAUACC